UUUAGAGCUUUUAACAUAUAUAAUUUCACUUUUCUAUGCACUAUAACUUUAUGCUAUUUGCUUAACUUGCAAGUUACUAACUAAUAACUAUGUUCCUUGAAAAGCCCUAGAUAUAGGCUAGAUCUUUAUAUCAUCGUAUCACAAAGAGAUGUAAUUGACCUGAUAUGUUGUUGCAAACUGUUCCGUUGGUAAUAGGUUGAAAGACAUCUGGUUGCCGAUUGAGAGAUGUUAUGUGUUUUUUUUUUUUUUGGGUUAAAAAAAUAAGACUAAGUUUUAAUUUCACACAAUUUUAGCUUCAAAGUUACCCUUCUAUCAAAUAUGAUUGAGAAGAGUAUUACAACUAAUAUUUGUUUCUCAUGGGCAGGUGGCAAACACAUUGGUGGUUGCACAGGUGUUUUUUCUGACAGUGCUCAUCCUUAUGAUAUUGAAUUUGACUUCUAAGUAUAGUUUCUCCAAAAAAAAAACGAAAAAUUUCUUCUCAACUUCUUAUGCUAUAGUUUCAGCAAAUAACUUCUUACUUCGAUGUUAAAAAAAAAAAAAAAAAAAAAACACAAAGCUUUUCAUGUUGAGGACCGUCGCCGAAAUCAGUAUAGAUUAUUUGAGAUGACAAUUGCUAGUAAAUUUGAAUACUUGGCUACACAUUAUAUGUGCAAAUUUUAUGAGUGAAAAAUUGUUAAAUAAUAGUACAUUAAUAUCAAAAUAGUUAUUACCCAUGUGCUCUGGAAAAUAAUAAUUUUUAUGCCACUUUAUAGUUGUUUAUAUCCUAUCUUUGUAAGUCGACUGGUUAUUGUAGACGAGUUUCUUAAAUUUUUCAAAAUUUUCCUUUGACUUGCUCCAUCUUUUAAUAGGUUUCUUGCAACAUAAUCUUUUAUGUUCUAUUAUUCACAUUUUCCUGGAUGAAAUAUGGUUUUCAAUUUCCAAUUUUCAGUAUCUUUUUAUGUUAAAAAAUAAUAUGAUGCCGGACUACCAAAAUAUUCGUAAAAGGAAUAGAGAAUUCCUCAAUCUCCAAAUGAAAAAAUUACAUAUGUCUUGAUUUAGCACAUUCGUAUCAUAUGCUUGUCUAGACUCUAGGGUUAUCUAUAUAGAUCCUUCUUGGGUUCCAUUUUAUCAGCUACAUGUUCAAGCCAUCUCAAUACAUUUUUCCACAAUUUAACUUCAAUAACACUUACCUUGAAAUACUCAUAUAUAUACUCAUUUCUAAUCCUCGUUUUACUGCAAAUCNUUUUCCACAAUUUAACUUCAAUAACACUUACCUUGAAAUACUCAUAUAUAUACUCAUUUCUAAUCCUCGUUUUACUGCAAAUCCAUCAAAACAUUUAAAUCUCAGCUAUAGUCAAUUUUCACAGCUCUUUCUCCCAAAUUGAAUUUUCGUUUCUCAAUUUCAGUUUGUCCCUCAAUGUUCUUGUGUCAAAUAGUAGUUUUCUAGAUUUCUAUUAUGCCUUCAUUAUUUUGAAGUGUUUUAUUUCCAAAAUGUUGUAAGUAUCACUAUUAAGUGUAUAACAACCUCCAUUAGGAGAUGUAAUUAUUGAUAGUUGAGGUGAAAACCGUAAGCAAAGUUGUAUUUGGCAUGCUUUAUUAAUUGCAGAGCAAAGUCAAGCAAAUUUCAAUUUGGGACUGGGAAAUAAAUGUUGUUUCUUAAUAAUGGACAUUCAAUCCACUGGUCUGGUUGCAGUCCUGUAGUACUUUAUUUUGAACUCAUAAAAACUCAUUGAUCAUAUGAAUGAUUGAACCUAACAAUACAUUAAUCACGGUUUCUAACACGAAAUAUCCUUUUCUUUCUUAUUUUUUCAUGCUG
rnacentral:lncRNA from 1 species